rnacentral:rRNA from 1 species
AGAGUUUGAUCAUGGCUCAGAUUGAACGCUGGCGGCAGGCCUAACACAUGCAAGUCGAGCGCGAAAGGCUUACGGGCUGAGUAGAGCGGCGGACGGGUGAGUAACGCGUAGGAAUCUACCUGGUAGUGGGGGACAACUUGGGGAAACUCAAGCUAAUACCGCAUACGCCCCAAGGGGGAAAGCGGGGGACCUUCGGGCCUCGCGCUAUCAGAUGAGCCUGCGUAGGAUUAGCUUGUUGGUGAGGUAAAGGCUCACCAAGGCGACGAUCCUUAGCUGGUCUGAGAGUAUGAUCAGCCACACUGGGACUGAGACACGGCCCAGACUCCUACGGGAGGCAGCAGUGGGGAAUAUUGCGCAAUGGGGGCAACCCUGACGCAGCCAUGCCGCGUGUGUGAAGAAGGCCUUCGGGUUGUAAAGCACUUUAAGUGGGGAGAAAAGGGUAGCUGUUAAUAGCGGUUACCUGUGAUGUUACCCACAGAAUAAGCACCGGCUAACUCCGUGCCAGCAGCCGCGGUAAUACGGAGGGUGCGAGCGUUAAUCGGAAUUACUGGGCGUAAAGCGCGCGUAGGCGGUUUGUUAAGUCAGCUGUGAAAGCCCCGGGCUCAACCUGGGAACUGCAGUUGAUACUGGCCGACUAGAGUACGAGAGAGGGAGGUAGAAUUCCAUGUGUAGCGGUGAAAUGCGUAGAUAUAUGGAGGAAUACCGGUGGCGAAGGCGGCCUCCUGGCUCGAUACUGACGCUGAGGUGCGAUAGCGUGGGGAUCAAACAGGAUUAGAUACCCUGGUAGUCCACGCCGUAAACGAUGUCUACUAGCCGUUGGGAGACUUGAUUUCUUAGUGGCGCAGCUAACGCAAUAGGUAGACCGCCUGGGGAGUACGGCCGCAAGGUUAAAACUCAAAUGAAUUGACGGGGGCCCGCACAAGCGGUGGAGCAUGUGGUUUAAUUCGAUGCAACGCGAAGAACCUUACCAGGUCUUGACAUCCAGAGAACUUUCCAGAGAUGGAUUGGUGCCUCCGGGAGCUCUGAGACAGGUGCUGCAUGGCUGUCGUCAGCUCGUGUCGUGAGAUGUUGGGUUAAGUCCCGUAACGAGCGCAACCCUUGUCCUUAGUUGCCAGCGAGUAAUGUCGGGAACUCUAAGGAGACUGCCGGUGACAAACCGGAGGAAGGUGGGGACGACGUCAAGUCAUCAUGGCCCUUACGACCUGGGCUACACACGUGCUACAAUGGAACGCACAGAGGGCUGCAAAGGCGCGAGCUGGAGCCAAUCCCACAAAACGUUUCGUAGUCCGGAUCGGAGUCUGCAACUCGACUCGUGAAGUCGGAAUCGCUAGUAAUCGUGGAUCAGAAUGCCACGGUGAAUACGUUCCCGGGCCUUGUACACACCGCCCGUCACACCAUGGGAGUGGGUUGCUCCAGAAGUGGUUAGCCUAACCUUCGGGGGGGCGAUCACCACGGAGUGAUUCAUGACUGGGGUGAAG